rnacentral:tRNA from 1 species
GCAGUGGUGAUUCACUGGUAGAAUUCUUGUCUUCCAUGCAGGAGAUCUGGGUUUGAUUCUCGGCCAAUGCG